rnacentral:misc_RNA from 1 species
UGCCGCAAAAAGUGUGGUGAGGCCGACAUGGGAUAUGGGACAUCCAUAAAGGAGUAAAGACCAGAGGAGUCAAAUGUUUCUCAGAGGCUGAUAAUCAUUGUUAUGUGUUUAUGGUAACGCGUUAUUAGAAAUUUUUGGUUGCACAUCUGAACGGCUAGGGAUACUCCUAUUCGGCGAUCCAGUUGAAGAUGAAGCAACUUCCCAUGGCCCAGUAUAG